rnacentral:rRNA from 1 species
AACGAACGCUGGCGGCAUGCCUAACACAUGCAAGUCGAACGGGAUCCUGGCUUCGGCCAGGUGAGAGUGGCGGACGGGUGAGUAACGCGUGGGAACCUGCCCAUUGGUCUGGGAUAACUGCGGGAAACUGCAGCUAAUACCGGAUGUACCCGAGAGGGGAAAGAUUUAUCGCCGAUGGAGGGGCCCGCGUCAGAUUAGGUAGUUGGUGAGGUAACGGCUCACCAAGCCUACGAUCUGUAGCUGGUCUGAGAGGAUGAUCAGCCACACUGGGACUGAGAUACGGCCCAGACUCCUACGGGAGGCAGCAGUGGGGAAUAUUGGACAAUGGGGGCAACCCUGAUCCAGCAAUGCCGCGUGAGUGAUGAAGGCCUUAGGGUGUAAAGCUCUUUUACCAGGACGAUGAUGACGGUACCUGGAGAAUAAGCCCCGGCUAACUUCGUGCCAGCAGCCGCGGUAAU